rnacentral:rRNA from 1 species
GAUGAACGCUGGCGGCGUGCCUAAUACAUGCAAGUCGAGCGAACAGACGAGGAGCUUGCUCCUCUGACGUUAGCGGCGGACGGGUGAGUAACACGUGGAUAACCUACCUAUAAGACUGGGAUAACUUCGGGAAACCGGAGCUAAUACCGGAUAAUAUAUUGAACCGCAUGGUUCAAUAGUGAAAGACGGUUUUGCUGUCACUUAUAGAUGGAUCCGCGCCGCAUUAGCUAGUUGGUAAGGUAACGGCUUACCAAGGCAACGAUGCGUAGCCGGCCUGAGAGGGUGACAGGCCACACUGGAACUGAGACACGGUCCAGACUCAUACGGGAGGCAGCAGUAGGGAAUCUUCCGCAAAGGGCGAAAGCCUGAAGGAGCAACGCCGCGUGAGUGAUGAAGGUCUUCGGAUCGUAAAACUCUGUUAUUAGGGAAGAACAAAUGUGUAAGUAACUAUGCAAGUCUUGACGGUACCUAAGCAGAAAGCCACGGCUAACUACGUG